rnacentral:rRNA from 1 species
AAGUCCGUGAGCCAUGCGUCAAGAAAAGCCGCUAUCGUUUAUACCGUACCCGUACCGUAAACCGACACAGGUGGAUGAGGAGAGAAUCCUAAGGCCGGCGGAAGAAGCAUUGUCAAGGAACUCGGCAAAAUGGCCCCGUAACUUAGGGAUAAGGGGUGCCUGGGAAACCAGGCCGCAGAGAAUAGGCUCAAGCAACUGUUUAGCAAAAACACAGGUCUAUGCGAAACCGAAAGGUGAGGUAUAUGGGCUGACGCCUGCCCGGUGCUGGAAGGUUAAGAGGAGAGGUUAGCGGUAACGCGAAGCUUUGAAUUUAAGCCCCAGUAAACGGCGGCCGUAACUAUAACGGUCCUAAGGUAGCGAAAUUCCUUGUCGGGUAAGUUCCGACCCGCACGAAAGGCGUAAUGAUUUGAGCGCUGUCUCGACAAUGCAUCCGGUGAAAUUGAAGUACCAGUGAAGAUGCUGGUUACCUGCGCCAGGACGGAAAGACCCCAUGGAGCUUUACUCCAGUUUGGUACUGGGACUCGGUAUUGCAUGUACAGGAUAGGUGGGAGGCUAGGAGAUGGUAACGCCAGUUGCCAUGGAGCCGCUGUUGGGAUACCACCCUUGCAGUAUUGGGUUUCUAACCAGCCGCCGUGACCCGGCGGUGGGACAAUGCCAGACGGGGAGUUUGACUGGGGCGGUCGCCUCCGAAAGGGUAUCGGAGGCGCCCAAAGGUUCCCUCAGAAUGGACGGAAACCAUUCGAAGAGUGCAAAGGCAGAAGGGAGCUUGACUGCGACACCGACGGGUGGAGCAGGUACGAAAGUAGGGCUUAGUGAUCCGGUGGUAUUAAGUGGGAAUGCCAUCGCUCAACGGAUAAAAGCUACCCUGGGAUAACAGGCUUAUCACUCCCAAGAGUUCACAUCGACGGAGUGGUUUGGCACCUCGAUGUCGGCUCAUCGCAUCCUGGGGCUGUAGUAGGUCCCAAGGGUUGGGCUGUUCGCCCAUUAAAGCGGUACGCGAGCUGGGUUCAGAACGUCGUGAGACAGUUCGGUCCCUAUCCGGCGUGGGCGUAGGAUAUCUGAGAGGAGCUGUCCUUAGUACGAGAGGACCGGGAUGGACGGGCCGCUGGUGCAUCGGUUAGACUGCCAAGUCUACGGCCGAGUAGCCAAGCCCGGAAGGGAUAAACGCUGAAGGCAUCUAAGCGUGAAGCCCCCCUUAAGAUGAGAUAUCCCAUUCGAAAGAAGUAAACCCCCUUGAAGACGACGAGGUAGAUAGGGCAGAGGUGGAAGUGUGGCAACACAUGGAGCUGACUGUUACUAAUCGGGUGAGGGCUUGACCUA